UACGUAGGCAGCGAGCGUUGUUUCGGAAUUACUGGGCGUAAAGAGUGUGUAGGCGGUGCUCUAAGUUCGGUGUGAAAUCUCCUGGCUCAACUGGGAGGGUGCGCCGGAAACUGGAGUGCUUGAGCGUGGGAGAGGAAAGCGGAAUUCCUGGUGUAGCGGUGAAAUGCGUAGAUAUCAGGAGGAACACCUGUGGUGUAGACGGCUUUCUGGACCAUAGCUGACGCUGAGACACGAAAGCGUGGGUAGCAAACAGG
rnacentral:rRNA from 1 species